rnacentral:sRNA from 1 species
GCCGGGCGCGGUGGCGCACGCCUGUAGUCCCAGCUACUCGGGAGGCUGAGACAGGAGGAUCGCUUGAGUCCAGGAGUUCUGGGCUGUAGUGUGCUAUGCCGAUCGGGUGUCUGCACUAAGUUCGGCAUCAAUAUGGUGACCUCCCGGGAGCGGGGGGACCACCAGGUUGCCUAAGGAGGGGUGAACCGGCCCAGGUCGGAAACAGAAAUAGAGAGGAGAGAGAGAAUAAAUAAAACUCCUUUUGUAAAGCUAUUUUAAUAAAUAAAACCUUUUAAAAUGUCUCA